UACGUAGGGUGCGAGCGUUGUCCGGAAUUAUUGGGCGUAAAGGGCUCGUAGGCGGUUUGUCGCGUCGGGAGUGAAAACCUUGGGCUUAACUCAGGGCUUGCUUUCGAUACGGGCAGACUAGAGGUAUGCAGGGGAGAACGGAAUUCCUGGUGUAGCGGUGAAAUACGCAGAUAUCAGGAGGAACACCGGUGGCGAAGGCGGGUCUCUGGACAGUUCCUGACACUGAGACACGAAGGCCAGGGGAGCAAACGGG
rnacentral:rRNA from 1 species